AUGCCGGACGCGCUGGACCUGGGGGCGCGGGCCAGGCUGGGCCGGUUCUCCGAGGAGGCGCGGAGGAGGCGCGGAGGACCCUGCGCCCGCUCAGCUCGCGGGCUCUCGCCCCAGCGGCGCCUGCAGGGGAGCGGAGAGCGGGGCGCGCGGCUGGGAGGGCGGAGACUGGAGGCGGGCGCGGGCGCGGGAGGGAGGCGGGGCUGCGGGCGGACCGAGGUGGGCAGAAGGUGCGCUUCGCGGGAGGCGUCAGCCCCGGACCCCCGGACCCCCCGCGCCCGGACCCCGCCCCGCGCCUCUGCCUCCCUCCCUGCCUCCCGGCGGCCGCACCUCGGGAGAGCGGAGGGGCCGGGCGGCGGGGGUCUCCGGCCCCCGGGCAGGACGCGUGCAGCUCUGGAGGGGUCGGUGGGAGCCGGGAGCCGGGACGCGGAGCUGGCGCGCGGGCGGGUACCGGGACGGGACCCUCCUCCGGGGGAGUCGGGCUGGGCCGGGCGCCGGUGCGCGCUGCUCUCCCUUCCGCCGCCCGGGAGCCAGCAGGGAGGGCGGGGCGGGCGUGGGGCUGGGGGCCGGGUCGUAACACACCGCAGCCCCGCCCGGCCCGGCCGCGGAGACACCCCGCGGAGAGGUGGGGGAGCGGGGAGCCGACCCGACCCUUCCCGGGCGCUUCCCCUCGCGGACCGGCUCCGUCGGACCAGCGAGCGCCCCCUGCUGCCGCCCGCGAGCCCAGCCCGGGUCCCGGAGCCACCGCUCGCAGCCUGGGACUUAGGACUUCGGCGUCUUGUGUCUGUGCAGCUGCCUCAGUUUCCUCCAUUAAGGGCAAAGGAGGUAAGAGGGAAACUGGCUUGGAUUCGAAUCACAGCAUUAACUGCGACUCAGCCAAGGGUUUGUACGGGGCACGGGGCGAGCUGCCGCCCCUUGACUGAUGCGAAGGGGAGGUCCCUUCCUGGGAAUAAAGCAAGGAGACCCUGCGGUGGCGGAGCAAAGGGUGGGGCCUUUGUCACACAACUCCAAGAAAAAGCAGGUCUCAGGGGCAGCUGUGAAGGGAGGAGUGAAGGGAGGAGUGUCCCUCCGCUUCUGUAG
rnacentral:lncRNA from 1 species